rnacentral:rRNA from 1 species
UACGUAGGGUGCAAGCGUUGUUCGGAAUUACUGGGCGUAAAGCGCGCGUAGGCGGGUCCGUAAGUCGAUUGUGAAAGCCCUGGGCUUAACCCGGGAAUUGCAGUCGAUACUGCGGAUCUUGAAUGCCUGAGAGGAUGGCGGAAUUCCCGGUGUAGAAGUGAAAUUCGUAGAUAUCGGGAAGAACACCUGAGGCGAAGGCGGCUAUCUGGCGGUGCAUUGACGCUGAUGCGCGAAAGCGUGGGGAGCAAACAGG